CCUACGGGUGGCAGCAGUGGGGAAUAUUGCACAAUGUGGGAAACCCUGAUGCAGCGACGCCGCGGGAGUGAAGAAGUAGUUCGGUAUGUAAAGCUCGAUCAGCAGGGAAGAAGAAAGACGGUACCUGACUAAGAAGCACCGGCUAACUACGUGCCAGCAGCCGCGGUAAUAAGUAGGGGGCAAGCGUUAUCCGGAUUGACUGGGUGUAAAGGGAGCGUAGACGGCUGUGCAAGUCUGAAGUGAAAGCCCAGGGCUCAACCCUGGGACUGCUUUGGAAACUGGGGAUCUAGAGUGCUGGAGAGGUAAGUGGAAUUCCUAGUGUAGCGGUGAAAUGCGUAGAUAUUAGGAAGAACACCGGUGGCGAAGGCAGCUUACUGAACAGUAACGGACGUUGAGGCUCGAAAGCGUGGGGAGCAAACAGGAUUAGAUACCCUUGUAGUC
rnacentral:rRNA from 1 species